rnacentral:piRNA from 1 species
UGGAUUUAUGCAUUCAACCGUUGAUGGACAUU